UAAGACCAUUGUGGAGAAACUAAAUGAAUACUUUGCAUUAGUCUUCACGGCUGAGGAUGUGAGGGAGAUUCCCAAACUUGAGCCAUUCUUUUUAGGUGACAAAUCUGAGGCAUUGUCCCAGAUUUAGGUGUCAUUGGAGGAAGUUUUGGAACAAAUUUAUAAAUUAAAAAAGUAAGAAGUCACCAGGACCAGAUGGGAUUCACCCAAGACUGCUGAAGGAACUCAAAUGUGAAACUGAAGAACUGCUAACUGUAGCCUGUAACCGAUCAUUUAAAUCAGCUUCUGUACCACAUGGCUGGAGGAAAAUGUGAUGCCAAUUUUUAAAAAUGGCUCUAGAGAUGACGCGGGCAAUUACAGGACGGUAAGCCUGACUUCCCAGGCAAACCGGUUGAAACUAUAGUAAAGAACAACAUUGUCAGACAUGUAGAUAGACAGUAUUUGUUUGGGAAGAGUCAAUAAGGUUUUUGAAAAAGGAGAU